rnacentral:sRNA from 1 species
AAAGUAUUUUUGUUAAAAAAUUAAACCAAUAGUAAGAUGAGAAUUGUCAUGAUGGGUUGUACAAAGUAUCUCAGAGUAUCUCAGAGUUUCUCACUUGAGAAACUUUCUACACUCUCUCUCCUUCAUUUUUAUUAUUUUUAUUUUUUUAAUUGUGAGAAAUUCUUAUGAGAUACCCACAAUAGAGAUGGUCUUAUAAAUUUAUCAACAUGGUGAAUCUCUCAUGUUAUAUAUAGAGGUGAUUUAAAGGCUAAAUAGAAUAACACACUACAGCAUAUAAACUCAAUGAUAUGGCAACUCAA